AGUUCGAUCCUGGCUCAGAUUAUCCGGCGGGAUGCUUUACACAUGCAAGUCGAACGGCAGCACGGACGGUCUGGUGGCGAGUAUGAACGGGGUGAGUAAUGCAUCGAACGUGCCUAGUAGCGGGGGAUAACUACGCGAAAGCGUAGCUAAUACCGCAUACGCCCUUCGGGGUGAAAGCGGGGACCUUCGGGCCUCGCACUAUUAGAGCGGCCGAUAUCGGAUUAGCUAGUUGGUGGGCAACGGCUCACCAAGGCGACGAUCCGUAGCUGGUUUGAGAGGACGACCAGCCAGUGCCACUUGGACUGAGACGGCCCAGACUCCUACGGAGGCAGUGAAAAUUUUGGAUACUGGGAAACUUCGAUCCAGCCAUCCCGCGGUGAUGAAGGCCUUCGGGUUGUAAAGCACUUUCGGGCAGGAAAAGAAAACGGCACGGAUAAUACCCCGUGCAACUGACGGCGUACCUGCAGAAUAAGCACCGGCUAACCACGUGCCAGCAGCCGCGGUAAUACGUAGGGUGCAAGCGUUAAUCGGAAUUACUGGGCGUAAAAGCGUGCGCAGGCGGUUCGGAAAGAAAGAUGUGAAAUCCCAGAGCUUAACUUUGGAACUGCAUUUUUAACUAUCAGAGCUAGAGUGUGUCAGAGGGAGUGGAAUUCCGCGUGUGUAGCAGUGAAAUGCGUAGAUAUGCGGAGGAACACCGAUGGCGAAGGCAGCCUCCUGGGGAUAACACUGACGCUCAUGCACGAAAGUGGGAGCAAACAGGAUUAGAUACCCUGGUAGUCCACGCCCUAAAACGAUGUCAACUAGCUGCCGGGCUCUCUGGCCUUGGUAGCGUGAAGCACGCGUGAAGUUGACCGCCUGGGAGUAAUGGUCGUAAGAUUAAACUCAAAGGAAUUGACGGGACCCGCACAAGCGGUGGAUGAUGGAUUAAUUCGAUGCAACGCGAAAAACCUUACCUACCCUUGACAUGUCUGGAAUCCCGGAAGAGAUUGGGAGUGCUCGCAAGGAGAACCGGAAACGACAGGUGCCGCAUGGCUGCCGUCAGCCUUCCGUGUGUCGCAGAUGUUGCCAAGUCCCGCAACGAGCGCAAUCCCCGCCACAGUUGCUACGAAAGCGCACUCUAAUGAGACUGCCGGUGACAAACUGAUAGCGUGGGGAUGACGUCGGAGUCCUCAUGGCCCUUGCGUAGGGCUUCACACGUCAUACAAUGGUCGGGACAGAGGGUCGCCAACCCGCGAGGGGGAGCCAAUCCCAGAAACCUGAUCGUAGUCCGGAUCGCAGUCUGCAACUCGACUGCGUGAAGUCGGAAUCGCUAGUAAUCGCGGAUCAGCAUACCGUGGUGAAUACGUUCCCGGGUCUUGUACACACCGCCUGUCACACCAUGAGUGGGUUUUACCAGAAGUAGUUAGCCCAACCGUAAGGAGGGCGAUUACCACGGUAGGAUUCAUGACUGGGGUAAGUCAACAAGGU
rnacentral:rRNA from 1 species